UCUAGCAGACUAAAAUACUAGUUUCAUCGCCAUCUAUGAUUCACAUUUAAAACUACUGAUAUGGAACGAUAAGUCUUCGUUACGCAAGACCGCCGCCAUUUUUUUUCGAGCACUGAUUGAAAGCGUAUCAAUAGAUAAUCCGUACGGCGUAUUUUCCUUCCUGACAUUUUUCUUCAUAAAAAUGCUGAUCAUGUGGCCUGAGCAUCUGUACAUUUUGCCAAGAUGUCGUCUCUUUUUCCUGUACUGGCUGUACGUUUUGUAAGAAAAACUUCAGAACAAAUCAGUCUGGCAAAGUCUGAGCAUCGUCGUUGCUGCCCAAUGUACACAUGGAUUUGAUGCAGCCAGCUGGUAAAGGGUGUUCCCCUUGCUACCUGUACUGCUGUGUGUUUCGUCAAAUGAAGAAACAUGAACAGCUGAAGUAAUUGUUUCAAUCAACUU
rnacentral:lncRNA from 1 species